UGCCAGCAGCCGCGGUAAUACGGAGGGGGUUAGCGUUGUUCGGAAUUACUGGGCGUAAAGCGCACGUAGGCGGACUGGAAAGUAUGGGGUGAAAUCCCAGGGCUCAACCCUGGAACUGCCUCAUAAACUAUCAGUCUAGAGUUCGAGAGAGGUGAGUGGAAUUCCGAGUGUAGAGGUGAAAUUCGUAGAUAUUCGGAGGAACACCAGUGGCGAAGGCGGCUCACUGGCCGAUAUUGACGCUGAGGCGCGAAGGCGUGGGUAGCGAACGGGAUUAGAUA
rnacentral:rRNA from 1 species